rnacentral:sRNA from 1 species
AUCGAAGAGAAGAGAAAGAGAAACUGAGAAGAGAAGAGAAAGAAAUGGAAGGGAAACUGAGAAGUUUCCCAAACAUAAAUAAGAAUGACCUAAAUUUUGGUCAAUUAUUUAACGCGUGUUUUCCCGUAAUUUAAUU